GAUGAACGCUGGCGGCGUGCCUAAUACAUGCAAGUCGAGCGGACAGAUGCGGAUCUUGCUCCUCUGACGGUAGCGGCGGACGGGUGAGUAACACGUGGAUUACCUACAUCUAAGACUGGGAUAACUUCGGGAAACCGGAGCUAAUACCGGAUAAUAUAUUGAACCGCAUGGUUCAAUAGUGAAAGACGGGUUUGCUGUCACUUAUAGAUGGAUCCGCGCCGCAUUAGCUAGUUGGGAAGGUAACGUGUUACAACGGCAACGAUGCGUAGCCGACCCGAAAGGGUGGACGGCCACACGGGAACUGAGAAUGGGUCCCGACACCUACGGGGGGCAGCAGUAGGGAAUCUUCCGCAAUGGGCGAAAGCCUGACGGAGCAACGCCGCGUGAGUGAUGAAGGUCUUCGGAUCGUAAAACUCUGUUAUUAGGGAAGAAGAAAUGUGUAAGUAACUAUGAACGUCUUGACGGUACCUAAUCAGAAAGCCACGGCUAACUACGUG
rnacentral:rRNA from 1 species